ACUAACCGGGGAGGUAGCGGUGCCCUGUACUUGCAAUCCGCUAUAGCAAGGGUGAAUGCCUUAUGGAGGGACCUUUUUGUGCGGUCCGUGCAAAACAGAGGAUGUUGAGAACCGGGUCUUGCGCAAUCGUUCUUUGUGAACCUUGUCAGGCGGGGAACCGAGCAGCAAUAAGCAAAUGCUUCGAUGUGCCGCAAGGCAGCCUGGUUUGAGUCCAACCUUUUGUAACGCGCAU
rnacentral:SRP_RNA from 1 species